GUCCAUUUUUAACUUAUUUCAUCCUUCACCCAGAAAUGGACCUCCUCCUUGAAGAAUUGUGGUUUCUUUAGUGCAUGACUAUUCUAUAUUCAAUAGCCAUAGAAUUUUCUCUAUUGGCUUUAUACCAGUACACUACCAGCACGGGACACAGAACUCUCCUACGGAGGUUUUUAGAGUGGUUCAAGCCCAUGUCUGCUUGGCAACAUAGUCUCAAAAGACUAAUAGAUAUCUAUGGGGUUGAAGAACGGCCCAUGAACAAAUAGCACACAGUCAGAUCUAUGUUCAUAAUGCAAAAAAAGCCCGAUAGACUAUUAUGAU
rnacentral:misc_RNA from 1 species